rnacentral:snoRNA from 1 species
CAACGUGAUGAACCCCAGAUAGGGACAGCUUAUACUACGGUAUUUGAUGAGAACCCUGGGCGAUUAUUUUAGUAGAUGCUUCGACCUGUCUGAUU